rnacentral:rRNA from 1 species
CUACGUGCCAGCAGCCGCGGUAAUACGGAAGGUCCGGGCGUUAUCCGGAUUUAUUGGGUUUAAAGGGAGCGUAGGCCGUGGAUUAAGCGUGUUGUGAAAUGUAGACGCUCAACGUCUGAAUUGCAGCGCGAACUGGUUCACUUGAGUAUGCACAACGUAGGCGGAAUUCGUCGUGUAGCGGUGAAAUGCUUAGAUAUGACGAAGAACUCCGAUUGCGAAGGCAGCUUACGGGAGCACAACUGACGCUGAAGCUCGAAGGUGCGGGUAUCAAACAGGAUUAGAUACCCUGGUAGUCCGCACAGUAAACGAUGGAUGCCCGUUGUUAGUUCACUUUAGAAUUAGCGACCAAGCGAAAGCAUUAAGCAUCCCACCUGGGGAGUACGCCGGCAACGGUGAAACUCAAAGGAAUUGACGGGGGCCCGCACAAGCGGAGGAACAUGUGGUUUAAUUCGAUGAUACGCGAGGAACCUUACCCGGGCUUGAA